rnacentral:rRNA from 1 species
GACGAACGCUGGCGGCGUGCCUAAUACAUGCAAGUCGAACGCAGUGGGGACGGGUGAGUAACACGUGGCUAACCUCCCAUCAGAGGGGAUAACACUUGGAUACAGGUGCUAAACCGAUACUGGUGUAGCGAGCCGCGGGGCAUUAGCUAGUUGGAGGGGUAACGGCUCAGCAAGGCCACGAUGCAUAGCCGACCUGAGAGGGUGACCGGCCACACUGGAACUGAGACACGGCCCAGACUCCUACGGGAGGCAGCAGUAGGGAAUCUUGGGCAAUGGACGAAAGCCUGACAGAGCAACGCCGCGUGAGUGAAGAAGGUUUUCGGAUCGUAAAGCUCUGUUGUUAGAGAAGCGGUAUCUAAACAGAAAGCCACGGCUAACUACGUGCCAGCAGCCGCGGUAAUAC